GGAGAGGUGCCCGGAGCGGCUGAUCGGGGACCCGGAGCAAGCCUCCGAGUCGGGUCGGAAACGACCCGCGCAGGUUCGAAUCCUGCCCUCUCCGCCA
rnacentral:tRNA from 1 species